ensembl:lncRNA
AAGAAGGAAAGAAGAGUGGAAGAAGGAAAGAAGAAAGAAAAGAAGAGUGAAGAAAGGAAAGAAGAGUGGAAGAAGGAAAGAAGAGUGGAAGAAGGAAAGAAGGAAAGAAGAGAGAGUGAAGAGGGAAAAUAUUAAAAGAAGGAGAGAAAAUGGAGUGAAGCAGAGAGAUGGAGUGUGAGAGAAAGUAGAGUGAGAGGGAUAGAGAGAAAGAUAGAGAGAAAAAAAAGUAGAGAAUGGAAGGUGUCUCUUAAUAUUCCUAAUUAUACAGUUGAAUGGAGAGGGACAGAGAGAAGAGGAGCCUUGGCGCAGGUGUCAGUGAAGCACAGGUGCAAGCCAGUUUAAAGACCCUAUUAUGAUGUCAUAAUGGCCCAAUGUAAGUCAAUGGGAGGAAUUGUAUUAGUUUUUCUUUAAUAUUUUAAAAAGUAUAAAGUUUAGAAAAAUGAAAAAUACAUAGCAUAAGUGUCCUUAACAAGACCUAUGCAGCAAAGUUUGAACGAUGUUUCUACGUUAAGCGGUUCAAGCUGAAUUGAGCGCAGAAGUCGGUAAAGAGAAUAAUAAUAAGAAGAAGAACUAGAAAAUGCAUUUCCUGAAGGAAAUACCAGUGCAUGAAAUGCAAAAGUUAAGAAAGGAAGAAGAAAAGAAAGAAGAGUGAAAGAAGGAAAUAAGAAAGGAAAGAAGAGUAAAGAAAGAAGAGUGAAGAAAGAAAAGAAGAGUGGAAGAAGGAAAGAAAAAAAAAAAGAAAAGUGAAAGAAGGAAAGAAGAGUGAAAGAAGGAAAAAAGAGUGGAAGAAGGAAAGAAAGAAGAGUGAAAGAAGGAAAGAAGAGUGGAAGAAGGAAAGAAGAAAAGAAAGAAGAGAGAAAGAAGGAAAGAAGAGUGGAAGAAGGAAAGAAGAAAGGAAAGAAGAGGGGAAGAAGGAAAGAAGAGUGGAAGAAGAGUGAAGAAAGAAAAGAAGAGUAGAAGAAGGAAAGAAGAGUGGAAGAAGGAAAGAAGAAAGGAAAGAAGAGUGAAGAAAGGAAAGAAGAAAAGAAAGAUGAAGGAAAGAAGAGUGAAGAAAGAAAAGAAGAGUGGAAGAAGGAAAGAAGAAAGGAAAGAAGAGUGGAAGAAGGAAAGAAGAAAGGAAAGAAGAGUGAAGAAAGGAAAGAAGAGUGGAAGAAGGAAAGAAGAGUGGAAGAAGGAAAGAAGAAAGGAAAGAAGAAAAGAAAGAAGAAGGAAAGAAGAGUGAAGAAAGAAAAGAAGAGUAGAAGAAGGAAAGAAGAGUGGAAGAAGGAAAGAAGAGUGAAGAAGAAAAGAAGAGUAGAAGAAGGAAAGAAGAGUGGAAGAAGGAAAGAAGAAAGGAAAGGAGAGUGGAAGAAGGAAAGAAGAGUGGAAGAAUGAAAGAAGAAGAGUGGAAGAAGUAAAGAAUAAUAUUCCUAGUUAUACAGUUGAAUGGAGAGGGACAGAGAGAAGAGGAGCCUUGGAACCUUGGCGCAGGUGUCAGUGAAGCACAGGUGCAAGCCAGUUUAAAGACCCUAUUAUGAUGUCAUAAUGGCCCAAUGUAAGUCAAUGGGAGAAAUUGUAUUAGUUUUUAUUUAAUAUUUUAAAAAGUAUAAAGUUUAGAAAAAUGAAAAAUACAUAGCAUAAGUGUCCUUUACAAGACCUACGCGCCAAAGUUUGAACGAAGUUUUUAAGUUAAGCGGUUCGAGCUGAAUUAAGCGCAGAAGUUCGGUAAAGAGAAUAAUAAUAAGAAGAAGAAGAAGAAUAAGAAGCCUAGGAAUAACAAUACAGGGCAUUUCAUGCACUGUAAUAAGAAG